rnacentral:rRNA from 1 species
CAGCACCGCGGUAAUACGUAGGGUGCAAGCGUUAUCCGGAAUUAUUGGGCGUAAAGAGCUCGUAGGCGGUUUGUCGCGUCUGCUGUGAAAACUGGAGGCUCAACCUCCAGCCUGCAGUGGGUACGGGCAGACUAGAGUGCGGUAGGGGAGAUUGGAAUUCCUGGUGUAGCGGUGGAAUGCGCAGAUAUCAGGAGGAGCACCGAUGGCGAAGGCAGAUCUCUGGGUCGUAACUGACGCUGAGGAGCGAAAGCAUGGGGAGCGAACAGGAUUAGAUACCCCUGUAGUCCCUGUCUCUUAUACA